ensembl:snRNA U6 U6 spliceosomal RNA
GUGGUUGCUUCAGCAGCACAUAUACUAAAAUUGGAACGAUACAGAGAAGAUUGGCCCCUGCACAAGAUGGCAUGCAAAUCCACAAAGCGUUCCAUACUUAA